rnacentral:rRNA from 1 species
UUACCCACUCCCGGACACGGGGUAGGUAGNGACAAUAAAAUAACGAUACGGGCACUCAUUUGAGGCCCCGUAAUCGGGAAUGAGGAACACUUUAAAUCCUUUAUCGAAGAUCCAUUGGUAGGGCAAGUCUGGUGCCAGCAGCCGCGGUAACUCCAGCUCCAAAAGCGUAUAUUAAAGUUGUUGCGGUUAAAAAGCUCGUAGUUGGUUCUGCGUGCUACGCUGUCGGUUCGCCGCCUGCCGGUGUAACUGGCAUGCCGUGGCAUGUCCUGUCGGUGGCGAGCGGGAGCCUCGCCAGGUGUCAGGUUUCGAGCUCGUCUCGUCAUCUGGCGUCCGGAGGUCCAACCCGUUCGCCUACUUCAUCCUACCUAGGUGCUCUUCACCGAGUGUCGAGGUAGGCCGACACGUUUACUUUGAACAAAUUAGAGUGCUCAAAGCAGGCUGAAAUCUCUGCCUGAAUAGUGGUGCAUGGAAUAAUGAAACAGGACCUUGGUUCUAUUUUGUUGGUUCUUAGGAACACAAGGUAAUGAUCAAUACGGACAGGCGGGGGCAUUCGUAUUGCGACGUUAGACUUGGCAAAUGCUUUCGCGGUGAAAUUCUUGGAUCGUCGCAAGACGCACAAGAGCGAAAGCAUUUGCCAAGUAUGUCUUGAUUGAUCAAGAACGAAAGUUAGAGGUUCGAAGGCGAUCAGAUACCGCCCUAGUUCUAACCAUAAACGAUGCCAGCCAGCGAUCCGCCGAUGUUCCUCCGAUGACUCGGCGGGGAGCUUCUUCCCGGGAAACCAAAGCUUUUGGGUUCCGGGGGAAGUAUGGUUGCAAAGCUGAAACUUAAAGGAAUUGACGGAAAGGCACCACCAGGACUGGAGCCUGCGGCUUAAUUUGACUCAACACGGGAAACCUCACCAGGCCAGGACAUUGGAAGGAUUGACAGAUUGAUAGCUCUUUCUUGAUUCAGUGGGUAGUGGUGCAUGGCCGUUCUUAGUUGGUGGAUCGAUUUGUCUGGUUAAUUCCGAUAACGAACGAGACUCUAGCCUAUUAACUAGGCGUUCCCGGUGUCCUCGCCACCGGCGACACUCAUUCUUCUUAAGGGGACAGGCGGCUUAUACCCGCACGAGAUUGAGCGAUAACAGGUCUGUNAUGCCCUUAGAUGUCCUGGGCCGCACGCGCGCUACACUGAAGGAAUCAGCGUGUGACUCCCAGGCCGAAAGGUCCGGGUAAUCCGCUGAACCUCCUGCGUGCUAGGAAUUGGGGCUUGCAAUUGUUCCCCAUGAACGAGGAACUCCCAGUAAGCGCGAGUCAUAAGCUCGCGUUGAUUACGUCCCUGCCCUUUGUACACACCGCCCGUCGCUACUACCGAUUGAAUGAUUUAGUGAGGUCUUCGGACUGGCGGUAAUUGCGUCCCGACUCGUCGGUCGUGAUGAACGUUGGGAAGAUGACCAAACUUGAUCAUUUAGAGGAAGUAAAAGUCGUAACAAG